rnacentral:rRNA from 1 species
UACGUAGGGGGCUAGCGUUGUCCGGAAUCAUUGGGCGUAAAGCGCGCGUAGGCGGCCCAGUAAGUCCGUUGUAAAGGUCAAAGGCUCAACCUUUGAAAGCCGAUGGAUACUGCUGGGCUAGAGUCCGGAAGAGGCGAGUGGAAUUCCUGGUGUAGCGGUGGAAUGCGCAGAUAUCAGGAGGAACACCGGUGGCGAAGGCGGCUUUCUGGACAGUAACUGACGCUGAGGCGCGAAAGCUAGGUGAGCAAACAGG